CUGGGCUUAAAUGUAGAGUGCAUGAGUGGGAAACCAUUCUUUCCUUCGGGACUCUUUACAAGGUGCUGCAUGGUUGUCGUCGGCUCGUGCCGUGAGGUGUCGGGUUAAGUCCCAUAACGAGCGCAACCCCUACCUUUAGUUGCCAUCAGGUAAUGCUGGGGACUCUAAAGGAACUGCCUACGCAAGUAGUGAGGAAGGUGGGGAUGACGUCAAAUCAGCACGGCCCUUACGUCCAGGGCUACACACGUGCUACAAUGGUCGGUACAGAGGGCAGCUACCACGCGAGUGGAUGCAAAUCUCCAAAGCCGAUCUCAGUUCGGAUCGAAGUCUGAAACUCGACUUCGUGAAGUUGGAUUCGCUAGUAAUCGCGCAUCAGCCAUGGCGCGGUGAAUACGUUCCC
rnacentral:rRNA from 1 species